UCGGCGUUCAAAAGAAAAUAAUGGUCGA
rnacentral:piRNA from 1 species